GGCCGCAUCACGCUGAAACAAUGGCUCCCGUACCAUCAUCAAAGUUAAGCAAUGUCGAGCCUGAUCAGUACCUAGAUGGGUGAUCGCUUGCGAAUACCAGGAACUGUAA